CUUCUUCUUCAUCUGUUUCUUCUUCUUCUUCUUCGUUGGUUAGAUUGUUCCCAUAGAAACUGUUUCUUCACGCCUAAUUUCAGGUAGAUUUAGCAUUUCUAAGCAAUUUAAGUUGGAAAAGUUGGGUUUAAUUAGUUUGUUAGAUUUGAACCUCUGUCUAAGGAAUUAAUUAGUUCCGGUGAAAGUCAACACCUAAAAAUUGCAAAGAACCAAAGGAUUUCAACAAAUUAUGAAGUCGACACUCCCCUAACAGAGGAGACAUGAAGUCAAAUAUUUAAGAUGUCUAUUGCCUUCCAGCAUUAUUGCCUUCAAUGCUAGAUUACUAUCAAUUAGCAAAAGCUUUUUGAGACAGGACUUCGCCAUAGACUCCAGAACUUUCUCCAAUAGAGUUCUUAGUGCUGUCUCUUCCACGAAAGCAUCCAGCAUGGGGGAGCUGCAGAAAUCGUACCACGCUUUGAAGUGAUAGAGCAACCCAGCCUCUAUGUCCAGACAAACAUUGAUUUCCUUGCUAUUCCCUACCGUCCAUUGGACCAAAGGAGAAGGAACUAAUUAGUUAGUAAAAAACUACUGAUGACCUUUAAGAAACUAUGCAUUUGCUGAUGAGAAUACUUUGGUUUUCUCUCUCCGCAGUCGGUUGAUAUCUCUUUCUGUUUGCAGUUUCUCUCUCUUUUUUUUUUUUCAGUUCUACCUUUCAACUUAUCCACCGGUUGUGAAAUUUGAGCAAGUUCAAAAUGAGAAAAGUAUUAGUCUAAUUUCAAGUAUGUGUUUUCCCUUUGAAUGAAACAGAAAUGUUUCUUAAUAUACUUGAACGUUUUAUAAAGUGAAAACAUAUGAAAAUAUAACGACGAGAUUAUUAUUGUUUCAUCCAAAAAGAAAAAAGGUUGGGAAGAUUACCAGGGUUGCAAUAAUCUCAUGCAUUCGGCCCAAAGUUGACAAAAUUAGGAAGGUUUUAUAAAAGGUUGUCCUGCUUUGGCCUGAAAUUUGAUUUUUACGACUUAUAAAAUGACAAAACAAUUUAACGCUCAUAAGGGCAACUACAUGCUCAUAUAAAGUAAUAGAGAUUAAUAUGUUCAGGCUGUUUUUUAUCCUUUGUCAUGAAUAUUUACCAUAUCUAUUCUUUAUCCUCUAUAGUUCUGAUCUGAUUUGCACUUUCUAUCUAUAAUUAAGGAUCUGAAAUCUUAGGCCUACGAUUCUAAGGUCUUAGCACCUCCGAUCUAAGACCUGAGGUAAUCAAACAGCACUUUGGUAUUCUUUUCUUAAAAGUUAAAGGCAUUCAGGAAUUGGCUCAAUCUUUGCUGUGCAGAGGGUGGUUGGGAUGGGGAGGAGUACCAAGAAGUGAUCAAACACACUCCUUGGCUUGCAAUCAAAUUUUCUAAUGUCGGUUGCUUUAUGUUUCUGCUUUUUGGUGAAUUAAACAAUGAAGACAAAGCACUGGAUGAGCAUUGCAGGGAUGAGUGCAAGAUUUGUGAAUUACUCCUUAUGAAUACUUGCUAAAGUUGCUGUAAUUGCAGCUGAUAUUUCAGAAGUCAUAAGGACAACCUUCUGACUUAAUACACCAUUUCGGCAGAGAUAAAGAAAAAACCCCGACAGAGCGGCCAUCGAUCAAG